UCCGGUUUGUCACCGGCAGUCUCAUUAGAGUGCCCUUUCGUAGCAACUAAUGACAAGGGUUGCGCUCGUUGCGGGACUUAACCCAACAUCUCGCGACACGAGCUGACGACAACCAUGCACCACCUGUAUACCGCCCUUGCGGACCCCAUAUCUCUAUGAGUUUUCGGUAUAUGUCAAGCCUUGGUAAGGUUCUUCGCGUUGCGUCGAAUUAAGCCACAUGCUCCGCCGCUUGUGCGGGCCCCCGCCAAUUCCUUUGAGUUUCAACCUUGCGGCCGUAGUUCCCAGGCGGUUCACUUAAUGCGUUAGCUGCGGCACCGAGGCAAAGCCCCGACACCUAGUGAACAUCGUUUAUGGCCAAGACUAC
rnacentral:misc_RNA from 1 species